CACCAAUGGCGGAGCGAGAGGCCGAGCUAGCUUUCCAAAUUAGGCGGGCGAAGCUUGAGAGUUUCGAAAUAAAAGAAGGCUUGCAGCUACCAGAAAGUCAUCAAGGCAUUAGUUUCUCUGAGAAGACAGAUCUGAAGAAAAUGCAAGAAAACGAGAAAAAAUAUCAACAAGGUGAGCUUAUUCUGCCAUUCCUUUAUGUAGCUAUAGUGUAUAUUUCCUGUAAAAUGAGUAAUUUCUUAUGAUAGCACAGAGCAGUAAAAG
rnacentral:lncRNA from 1 species